UACGUAGGGUCCGAGCGUUGUUCCGGAAUUGAUUUGGGACGGUAAAGAGCUCGUAGGCGGUUUGUCGCGAGUCAUGCUGUGAAAUCCCGAGGCUCAACCUUCGGGUCUGCAGUCGGAUAACGGGCUGGCUUGAGUGCGGUAGGGGAGACUGGGAAAUUCCUGGUGUAGCGGUGAAAUGCGCAGAUAUCAGGAGGAACACCGGUAGGCGAAGGCGGGUCUCUGGGCCGUAACUGAACGCUGGAGGAGCGAAAGCGUGGGGAGCGAACAGG
rnacentral:rRNA from 1 species